rnacentral:rRNA from 1 species
UACGUAGGCAGCAAGCGUUGUUCGGAGUUACUGGGCGUAAAGAGUGCGUAGGCGGUUUCGUAAGUUUGGUGUGAAAUCUCCCGGCUUAACUGGGAGGGUGCGCCGAAAACUGCGGGGCUGGAGUAUGGGAGAGGUAAGCGGAAUUCCUGGUGUAGCGGUGAAAUGCGUAGAUAUCAGGAGGAACACCGGCGGUGUAGACGGCUUACUGGACCAUGACUGACGCUGAGGCACGAAAGCGUGGGUAGCAAACAGG